UUCGCGGAGAUUAUCACUGCUGCGCGUGAAACUAGCUCUCACACCAAGGCUGCUGUGGGAAACUCCCGUGUUGUGCUGCCUCUCGCGCCGAGCCGACUUCCGUGUGUGGCUUCCGUGUGUGGCAAACCCCCGUCAUCCGGUGGCCUGAAAGCUUGG